rnacentral:rRNA from 1 species
ACUCGAGUGGCGAACGGGUGAGUAACACGUGGGUGAUCUGCCCUGCACUUCGGGAUAAGCCUGGGAAACUGGGUCUAAUACCGGAUAGGAGCCAUUUUUAGUGUGAUGGUUGGAAAGUUUUUCGGUGUAGGAUGAGCUCGCGGCCUAUCAGCUUGUUGGUGGGGUAAUGGCUUACCAAGGCUUUGACGGGUAGCCGGCCUGAGAGGGUGACCGGCCACAUUGGGACUGAGAUACGGCCCAG